rnacentral:rRNA from 1 species
UACGUAGGGUGCGAGCGUUAAUCGGAAUUAUUGGGCGUAAAGAGCUCGUAGGCGGUUUGUCGCGUCUGCUGUGAAAACUGGAGGCUCAACCUCCAGCCUGCAGUGGGUACGGGCAGACUAGAGUUCGGUAGGGGAGACUGGAAUUCCUGGUGUAGCGGUGAAAUGCGCAGAUAUCAGGAGGAACACCGAUGGCGAAGGCAGGUCUCUGGGCACUUACUGACGCUGAGGAGCGAAAGCGUGGGGAGCGAACAGG